AUUUCAGAAACGAUAAUUUGUAUUUCUCUGGACAAUGGACUGGAUGGAAUUACGCUUUCAAUAAUUGAGAUUCAACUGCUUUAAAGGAUUUUUCAGACAGAGAAAAGCAACUCAAGGGUUGAUUGCCGCCAAAGAUUUUGUUUGUUUGAAUCAUUAAUAUAUAGCAUAAUUUAUUUCUUUAUUUGUACAUUAAAUGCAUUGUUAAAACA
rnacentral:sRNA from 1 species